rnacentral:rRNA from 1 species
CGGGAAACCGGAGCUAAUACCGGAUAAUAUUCGAACCGCAUGGUUCGAUAGUGAAAGGUGGUUUGCUAUCACUUAUAGAUGGACCCGCGCCGUAUUAGCUAGUUGGUAAGGUAACGGCUUACCAAGGCGACGAUACGUAGCCGACCUGAGAGGGUGAUCGGCCACACUGGAACUGAGACACGGUCCAGACUCCUACGGGAGGCAGCAGAC